UCUGCACUUUCAGAUAUGGUCCUCGAAGAUGUGACAGAAUUUGAAAUCACACCGGAGGGACGGAGGAUCACGAAACUGGACCAGAUCCUCCUCAACGGCAACAACAUCACCAUGCUCAUCCCUGGAGGAGAAGGUCCUGAAGUCUGAGACGAGAAUCAUCACUGGCGAGACUGUGGAUUUAAUCCAUUUCCAUGUUGUUCUUCCUGAGUUUGUUAUAUUGUUGUUUUAUUGUUCCUUCUACGUGUUGAUUGAGGGAGAUAUUUUUGUAAGAUUCAUUGAGUAUUUGUUAAAUUUGAACUGUAUCGCACAGAAAAUUUCUUUUUAGAA